rfam:Bombyx mori DNA, contig: Bm_scaf232_contig41838, strain: p50T/Dazao, build 2, whole genome shotgun sequence.
UUAACUUAAAUUGGUAUGGAGUUGGAAUGUUUCGCUACGUUUGCCGCUAGGGGCGCUGUUCCAACUCCAUACAAAAUUGAGUUA